rnacentral:rRNA from 1 species
AGCGAACGCUGGCGGCAGGCCUAACACAUGCAAGUCGAACGAAGUCUUCGGACUUAGUGGCGGACGGGUGAGUAACACGUGGGAACGUGCCUUUAGGUUCGGAAUAACUCAGGGAAACUUGUGCUAAUACCGAAUGUGCCCUUCGGGGGAAAGAUUUAUCGCCUUUAGAGCGGCCCGCGUCUGAUUAGCUAGUUGGUGAGGUAAAGGCCCACCAAGGCUACGAUCAGUAGCUGGUCUGAGAGGAUGACCAGCCACAUUGGGACUGAGACACGGCCCAGACUCCUACGGGAGGCGGCAGUGGGGAAUCUUGCGCAAGGGGCGAAAGCCUGACGCAGCCAUGCCGCGUGGAUGAUGAAGGUCUUAGGAUUGUAAAAUCCUUUCACCGGUGAAGAUAAUGACUGUAGCGGGAGAAGAAGCCCCGGCUAACUUCGUGCCAUCAGCCGCCGUAAAAC